CCGAAAUUCAUGCAUACUCCUACAUAAGUGUUUUGUUCAAUUUCUCAAAAAUUUUUCAUUCAAUUUAACUUCCUAACAUAGAAUAAAGAGAGAGAGGUAAGAGUUAGCACUAACCUUAUGUUGAUCACUCUUCCAAGCUCGUAACAACUUCUUAAGUUCUCCUUCUUUUUGCUGCCUAGAGGUUAUUCAAGGUGCAAAUAGUUUUUAUGAAGGAAUCAAGUGGUUUUAUGGGAGAAAUCAAGGUGAUGCAAGGUGGAAGAAAGAAGAACAAUGGAGGGAAGGGAGAGAGUGGUUCGGCCACCAUGGAGAGGAAGAAGAAGAUGGAAUUUUUAAUUUGAUUUAUCUCAUUUGUGGCUUUUAAAGUGAAGCUUGUUUAAUUGAGAUUGGCUAAUAAGUUUUUAAUGACAUCAUUUUAUGUCAUGCUUAUGUAAUAAUUAGGAUUAAGUUUCAUUUUGUUUUCUUCUUUUCUCAAUUCAUUUUUUAAUUAAUUUUUCAUCAAUAUUUAUUUAUAUUUUAUGUCAUAUAAUUCAUUUACAUAAAUGGACAAGUUGGUCA
rnacentral:misc_RNA from 1 species